AAUUGACUCUAGUAGGGAGUCCGUAUUAUAAACAUAGUGACUCCCUAACGGAGUCAGAUUG
rnacentral:pre_miRNA from 1 species